rnacentral:rRNA from 1 species
UUCCUACGGGAGGAGCAGUGGGGAAUAUUGCACAAUGGGGGAAACCCUGAUGCAGCGACGCCGCGUGAGCGAAGAAGUAUUUCGGUAUGUAAAGCUCUAUCAGCAGGGAAGAAAAUGACGGUACCUGACUAAGAAGCACCGGCUAAAUACGUGCCAGCAGCCGCGGUAAUACGUAUGGUGCAAGCGUUAUCCGGAUUUACUGGGUGUAAAGGGAGCGUAGACGGCUGUGCAAGCCUGAAGUGAAAGGCCGGGGCCCAACCCUGGGAGUGCUUUGGGAACUGUGCAGCUAGAGUGUCGGAGAGGCA